CAGGCCAGCACACCAAGAAGUAGGUAUCUAGCAAGCAGAGGAAAACAAGCCAGGAACAGCAACCCAGAAGAGGGGGUGACCUGCUUUGGUUUUCCGGAGCCCAUGAGCACAGCCCAUGCACUUCUGGCCAAGGCAGGUCUGUUCCCAACAGCAACACCUACUGCCUCCCAUGGAGAACCUGUUCUGCGCUAGAUGCAGGAGACGCCUGCUGCCACCAACGAGCUUAUGGCUUGAACAGAGGAGAAUGAUGCAGGAAGGAUCACUGUGCCAAUUUUACAGAUGGAUAUACGUUUUACAGAUGGGUAUACAGACGGGGGACUCGCGACAUGGACCAGUUCAGUGUCUCAGUCAAUGGACACACAGAGAGGAUUGAACUGAAACGUAGUGUCAUGAAGACCAGAUUCAUUGGUGACUGCAGCGGGUUAAUCAUCUCCAGCGAUUGGCACUGCAGAGAGGAAGCUGGUCAGCCCCUGCUCAGGGGAUUAUGUCUAUGAUACUAGGAACCGUUGACAAGAAACGUCAACCCAAGUGCUGAGGCUGGUCCAGUCCGUCCCGAAGGGCAUUGGUGGGCCCUUUCCAGCCAAGACAUUCUGCUGAAUGAAUGUGCGGCGCUUACAAGGCAAAAUGCAUUUUGUGUCCUUGUAUCUAGAUGCAACCAUUUAAAAGGGUACUGCUGCAGUGCAGAGAGCUGCAGAUCACGGAGUAACAUGUUCUGAAAGCUGGGGGUCCAAACGGAUAUUUAUGCCGCUGCUGGGCAGAAGGAAAUCAGCCACUUUAAAUAUCUUCCUUUCCACCAGAGUGAGCAAUGCUAUUAGCAGAGAGGUCUACAUUUUCCUCAAUGUUUUAGCUGCUUUGCAUAGGAUCCGGGCCAGAACAUCAGUGAUGUCCAAUGUCACUUCCCUACAUUGCUCAAGCUAUAAUUAUGGCUUUGCUCAGCUUUUGAAUGCAGACUACAAAGCCCUGCCACCCUGCGCCCCCACCAGCUCUCACAAGCCAGGGACAAGCAUCAGCAGUAUGUUGCUGGCAGGGCCGAUGAGGUGCAGGAGGCAUUACCAGCAAUUCAAGAGCUGGAGCUCUUUUCUCUCGAGUCUGAGCUGAACUGAUGUUGCAGAAUUGUUUCUGAUGGCGCUGCGUGGCCGACUUCAGUAACGAUGGUAAUUUAAGAUUACGCUGACGCUUUCUGCCUGUUUUCAUCUGUCACCUGGCUAAACCUCAAGCUGGGGCACUACAUUUUGCUUGCUUACCUGCUGCAUUUUCAGCUGGACAAAGCACGCAGCA